CGUCCUUAGUUACCAGCACGUUAUGGUGGCACUCUAAGGAGACUGCCGGUGACAAACCGAGGAAGGUGGGGAUGACGUCAAGUCAUCAUGGCCCUUACGGCCUGGGCUACACACGUGCUACAAUGGUCGGUACAAAGGGUUGCCAAGCCGCGAGGUGGAGCUAAUCCCAUAAAACCGAUCGUAGUCCGGAUCGCAGUCUGCAACUCGACUGCGUGAAGUCGGAAUCGCUAGUAAUCGUGAAUCAGAAUGUCACGGUGAAUACGUUCCCGGGCCUU
rnacentral:rRNA from 1 species